GUCCACGCUGUAAACGAUGGACACUAGGUGUGGGGGGUAUUGACCCCUUCCGUGCCGAAGCCAACGCAAUAAGUGUCCCGCCUGGGGAGUACGGCCGCAAGGCUAAAACUCAAAGGAAUUGACGGGGGCCCGCACAAGCAGCGGAGCGUGUGGUUCAAUUCGACGCAACGCGAAGAACCUUACCAGGGCUUGAAGUGCCGGUAGUACUGAUCCGAAAGGUGAGGGACCCUUCGGGGAGCCGGUGGAGGUGAUGCAUGGCUGUCGU
rnacentral:rRNA from 1 species